AAAAAAAGGGCUCCACAAAUCUAAAUAAAUCUGGUACCUCCCCGACGAGGAAUUCUACACUAUCACACUUGCACCACAUAAUCAAUAACAAGCCAAUCACAUUCAUUCUUUUCAAACAAAAAUAUAAUAAAAAUAUUUUUUUACAAUCAUGAUGGGACAUAUACUGCUAAAAGAAAAUAUUUGAUUAGUUUGUUACGCCACGUUACCAAUAUACGCGUUGCAUUUUAGAAUUUUUCCUCCCCGACACUUCCAAUUGGGAUUUAUU
rnacentral:lncRNA from 1 species